UAGACUAUACUUUCAGGGAUCAUUUCUAUAGUUUGUUACUAGAGAAGUUUCUCUGAACGUGUAGCGUACCCGAUAAAGGAUU
ensembl:snoRNA U3 Small nucleolar RNA U3